rnacentral:tRNA from 1 species
AAGACUUUAAGUUAAUUUUAAACUAUUAAUCUUCAAAAUUAAAAAUAUAACAUAAUUUAUAAAUCUUA